UCACCAUUGGAUGGUUACCUUAUAAAGCUACCGAGAGCAUGUGACAACGAGUAGUAUCUAUUCUGUGCUUUACAGCUUUAUCAGCAGUUGGGGUGUUCGUUCCUUAAGUUUUGUGGACCAGAAGCCGACUUUAAACUUUUCGAUAUAUUUCUGGCGCAUUAUAAGUAUAGUAAACAUUUAAAAAAUGUUUAAAAUCACCUACAAAGUUACAUUUAAUAACAAUAUUCGUAUAUGUAACGUUUUUUACACAAACAAAACAUAUGUACAAUGACGUCAUAUAUAAGCCGGCCAGGCGGUCGUCUUUUAAGUUGUUUUAAAUCUUAAUUUUACUCUCGUAAAAUAUGUUUGGUACAUUAUUUGCGUAAAAUAUAACUAAUUUUAACACUUUAUUGUUUUAUUUUAGCGAAAUCGAUAAAAAAACAGAUAAAAUCUAAUACCAUAUUAAUCCGCCAAAGAUCUACGUUUUACAUUUAUGCAUUAUGACGUAACAGUUACUAUAUUCUUUAAUAAUCUAACCGACCAAUCAGUGAUGAGGUUGGAAAUUUGUUGCGGAAUAUUCCAGAAAUCUUUCUUUUCAACAAAACCUUUGAAGGGAAAGCUGCGUUUUUGUUUCCUGCGACAAAAAUUAAGUUUUCUUCCGAUUUUAGCUUAAAAGCGACUUCUGGAACAGGAAUUCUUGCACUUGAAAUCAUUUGUACUGAUGACGACUAUAUGACGUCAUGAACUCCAAGGUAAGUACGAUCAGCUGAACAUCGAGGAAUGAAGCGAUGUCGAUGUAAAAGUUGAUUUGUUGUGACUUAUCGGCCACAGAAUAAGCGUGGUUUCAAUAGCUUACUGUUCUAUACCUGCGUUUAGUAAGGUUAGGGUCGCGGCAAAAAAUAAAAAACUCGCGACCCCAAACAUCUAACAUUAGGAGCCGAUCACAUCAACUUUAUGACGAAGAAGAUUGAAGCGUCCUUUAAGGUAAGUUUAUUUUACGGUAAAAGGUGUAAACAAACCUAGAUUUGGAAUGGAAUCUGGGUGUAUUGGUUAUUAAGCAUGUUUGGAUGCAGAGAUGAUGACGUCCAGGCUUGCUGCUGCUAUCACAGCAUGUGUUUGGGGGCAAAGUUUUCAUAAUACUGCAGACAAGCAAUGUUUUGUCAAAUUAGUAAGAUAUGUGUGGGAAUUUUAAAAACAACGCCUGUAGUAUAACGACAGUCGCUGGUGUGCGGAUUUAUAUAGGAGCAUUAUUUGCUUAAGGUAAUUACUGUUGCCUAAUUAAUUCAAAAUUGUUAGUAUUAAAAAUAACCUGUUUCAAAUUAAUGUAUCGUGUUUCUCGAAUGAUUUGUUCCGAGUGUUUACUGCAAAUACAUCUUCGUGCAAUUGCCGCA